AUUGAACGCUGGCGGCAGGCCUAACACAUGCAAGUCGAACGGUAACAGAAAGCAGCUUGCUGCUUUGCUGACGAGUGGCGGACGGGUGAGUAAUGUCAGGGAAACUGCCUGAUGGAGGGGGAUAACUACUGGAAACGGUAGCUAAUACCGCAUAACGUCGCAAGACCAAAGAGGGGGACCUUCGGGCCUCUUGCCAUCGGAUGUGCCCAGAUGGGAUUAGCUAGUAGGUGGGGUAAAGGCUCACCUAGGCGACGAUCCCUAGCUGGUCUGAGGGGAUGACCAGCCACACUGGAACUGAGACACGGUCCAGACUCCUACGGGAGGCAGCAGUGGGGAAUAUUGCACAAUGGGCGCAAGCCUGAUGCAGCCAUGCCGCGUGUAUGAAGAAGGCCUUCGGGUUGUAAAGUACUUUCAGCGGGGAGGAAGGGAGUAAAGUUAAUACCUUUGCUCAUUGACGUUACCCGCAGAAGAAGCACCGGCUAACUCCGUG
rnacentral:rRNA from 1 species